rnacentral:rRNA from 1 species
GUUAAGUAGACCGCCUGGGGAGUACGGCCGCAAGGUUAAAACUCAAAUGAAUUGACGGGGGCCCGCACAAGCGGUGGAGCAUGUGGUUUAAUUCGAUGCAACGCGAAGAACCUUACCUACUCUUGACAUCCAGAGAACUUAGCAGAGAUGCUUUGGUGCCUUCGGGAACUCUGAGACAGGUGCUGCAUGGCUGUCGUCAGCUCGUGUUGUGAAAUGUUGGGUUAAGUCCCGCAACGAGCGCAACCCUUAUCCUUUGUUGCCAGCGGUCCGGCCGGGAACUCAAAGGAGACUGCCAGUGAUAAACUGGAGGAAGGUGGGGAUGACGUCAAGUCAUCAUGGCCCUUACGAGUAGGGCUACACACGUGCUACAAUGGCGCAUACAAAGAGAAGCGACCUCGCGAGAGCAAGCGGACCUCAUAAAGUGCGUCGUAGUCCGGAUUGGAGUCUGCAACUCGACUCCAUGAAGUCGGAAUCGCUAGUAAUCGUGGAUCAGAAUGCCACGGUGAAUACGUUCCCGGGCCUUGUACACACCGCCCGUCACACCAUGGGAGUGGGUUGCAAAAGAAGUAGGUAGCUUAACCUUCGGGAGGGCGCUUACCACUUUGUGAUUCAUGACUGGGGUGAAGUCGUAACAAGGUAACCGUAGGGGAACCUGCGGUUGGAUCACCUCCUU